rnacentral:rRNA from 1 species
UACGUAGGGUGCGAGCGUUAAUCGGAAUUACUGGGCGUAAAGCGUGCGCAGGCGGUUCGUGAUGUCUGAUGUGAAAGCCCCGGGCUUAACCUGGGAAUGGCAUUGGAAACUAGCGGGCUGGAGUGUGGCAGAGGGGGGUGGAAUUCCACGUGUAGCAGUGAAAUGCGUAGAGAUGUGGAGGAACACCGAUGGCGAAGGCAGCCCCCUGGGCUAACACUGACGCUCAUGCACGAAAGCGUGGGGAGCAAACAGG